rnacentral:rRNA from 1 species
AACGAGCGCUGGCGGCAUGCCUAACACAUGCCAGUCGAACGAGACCUUCGGGUCUAGUGGCGCACGGGUGCGUAACGCGUGGGAACCUGCCCUUAGGUUCGGAAUAACUCCCCGAAAGGGGUGCUAAUACCGGAUAAUGUCUUCGGACCAAAGAUUUAUCGCCUUUGGAUGGGCCCGCGUUGGAUUAGCUAGUUGGUAGGGUAAAAGCCUACCAAGGCGACGAUCCAUAGCUGGUCUGAGAGGAUGAUCAGCCACACUGGGACUGAGACACGGCCCAGACUCCUACGGGAGGCAGCAGUGGGGAAUAUUGGACAAUGGGCGAAAGCCUGAUCCAGCAAUGCCGCGUGAGUGAUGAAGGCCUUAGGGUUGUAAAGCUCUUUUACCCGGGAUGAUAAUGACAGUACCGGGAGAAUAAGCACCGGCUAACUCCGUG